rnacentral:rRNA from 1 species
ACGUAGGGUGCGAGCGUUAAUCGGAAUUACUGGGCGUAAAGCGUGCGCAGGCGGUUCGCUAAGACAGGUGUGAAAUCCCCGGGCUUAACCUGGGAAUGGCGCCUGUGACUGGCGGGCUUGAGUACAGCAGAGGGGGGUGGAAUUCCACGUGUAGCAGUGAAAUGCGUAGAGAUGUGGAGGAACACCGAUGGCGAAGGCAGCUGUCUGGGCUGUUACUGACGCUGAUGCACGAAAGCGUGGGGAGCAAACAG